rnacentral:rRNA from 1 species
CAAUAAAUUAUACUAUAUCUAAUUGGUUAAAAGGUGGUUAAAUACCAUCUAUUGUUAUUAAUCUUUAAUAAAGAAGUAAAAUUCAAAUAUUUAUAGAUAAUCAAAAAUAAACAUAAUUAUUGAAACCACGAAAUCGUAGAGGGAAACUGGGAUUAGAUACCCCACUAUUCUACAACGUAAACUAAAACUACCAGAGUACUACGAAUAUUACUAAAGUUUAAAACUCAAAGAGCUUGGCGGUACUUUAGACUCCCUAGGGGAACUUGUUCCUUAAUCGAUAACCCACGCUAUACCCAACUUUUUUUAGUAACCAGCCUGUAUACCGUCGUCACCAGGUAACUUUUUAGAUAACAAAAGUUAGCCAGAAAGAGCAAUUAAUCUCCGAUGUCAGAUCAAGGUGCAGCUAAUAAAGAAGUGAGAAUGAGUUACAAUUUUAAUUUUUAUUUAAUACACGAAUGAAAAAUCAUGCUGAAAUAGGACUUAGAAGUAUAAUAGUAAAUAGACAAAUAAUUAGAAUUUAGCUCUAAAAUGUGCACAUAU